rnacentral:rRNA from 1 species
GAUGAUUAUUGGGCCUAAAGCAUCCGUAGCCGGCUCUGUAAGUUUUCGGUUAAAUCUGUACGCUCAACGUACAGGCUGCCGGGAAUACUGCAGAGCUAGGGAGUGGGAGAGGUAGACGGUACUCGGUAGGAAGGGGUAAAAUCCUUUGAUCUAUUGAUGACCACCUGUGGCGAAGGCGGUCUACCAGAACACGUCCGACGGUGAGGGAUGAAAGCUGGGGGAGCAAACCGGAUUAGAUACCCGGGUAGUCCCAGCUGUAAACUAUGCAAACUCAGUGAUGCAUUGACUUGUGGUCAAUGCAGUGCUGCAGGGAAGCCGUUAAGUUUGCCGCCUGGGAAGUACGUACGCAAGUAUGAAACUUAAAGGAAUUGGCGGGGGAGCAC